CUAGCGACAGGCUAACACAUGCAAGUCGAGGGCGAGCAUAAAAGUAGCAAUACUUGGUGGCGACCGGCGCACGGGUGAGUAACGCGUAUGCAACCUACCUAUCAGAGGGAAUAACCCGGCGAAAGUCGGACUAAUACCGCAUAAAACAGGGGCACCGCAUGGUGAUAUUUGUUAAAGAAAUUCGCUGAUAGAUGGGCAUGCGUUCCAUUAGGUAGUUGGUGAGGUAACGGCUCACCAAGCCGACGAUGGAUAGGGGAACUGAGAGGUUGGUCCCCCACACUGGUACUGAGACACGGACCAGACUCCUACGGGAGGCAGCAGUGAGGAAUAUUGGUCAAUGGGCGGGAGCCUGAACCAGCCAAGUCGCGUGAAGGAAAAGAAGGAUCUAUGGUUCGUAAACUUCUUUUGCAGGGGAAUAAAGUGCAGGACGUGUCCUGUUUUGUAUGUACCCUGAGAAUAAGGAUCGGCUAACUCCGUGCCAGCAGCUGC
rnacentral:rRNA from 1 species